GAUGAACGCUGGCGGCGUGCCUAAUACAUGCAAGUCGAGCGAACAGACGAGGAGCUUGCUCCUUUGACGUUAGCGGCGCACGGGUGAGUAACACGUAGGUAACCUACCUAUAAGACUGGGAUAACUUCGGGAAACCGGAGCUAAUACCGGAUAAUAUUUCGAACCGCAUGGUUCGAUAGUGAAAGAUGGCUUUGCUAUCACUUAUAGAUGGACCUGCGCCGUAUUAGCUAGUUGGUAAGGUAACGGCUUACCAAGGCAACGAUACGUAGCCGACCUGAGAGGGUGAUCGGCCACACUGGAACUGAGACGCGGUCCAGACUCCUACGAGAGGCAGCAGUAGGGAAUCUUCCGCAAUGGGCGAAAGCCUGACGGAGCAACGCCGCGUGAGUGAUGAAGGUCUUCGGAUCGUAAAACUCUGUUAUUAGGGAAGAACAAACGUGUAAGUAACUGUGCACGUCUUGACGGUACCUAAUCAGAAAGCCACGGCUAACUACGUG
rnacentral:rRNA from 1 species